rnacentral:rRNA from 1 species
UACAGAGGGUGCGAGCGUUAAUCGGAAUUACUGGGCGUAAAGCGUGCGUAGACGGUUAUUUAAGUCGGGUGUGAAAGCCCCGGGCUCAACCUGGGAAUUGCAUUCGAGACUGAAUAGCUAGGGUACGGUAGAGGGAAGCGGAAUUUCCGGUGUAGCGGUGAAAUGCGUAGAUAUCUGGAGGAACACCGGUGGCGAAGGCGGCAUCCUGGACCAACACUGACGCUGAGGAGCGAAAGCCAGGGGAGCAAACGGG